UACGUAGGUGACAAGCGUUGUCCGGAUUUACUGGGCGUAAAGAGCGCGCAGGCGGUCGUUCAAGUCGAGUGUGAAAGCCCCCGGCUCAACUGGGGAGGGUCACUCGAUACUGAUCGACUCGAAGGCAGGAGAGGGUAGUGGAAUUCCCGGUGUAGUGGUGAAAUGCGUAGAUAUCGGGAGGAACACCAGUGGCGAAGGCGACUACCUGGCCUGUUCUUGACGCUGAGGCGCGAAAGCUAGGGGAGCGAACAGG
rnacentral:rRNA from 1 species